rnacentral:snRNA from 1 species
AUGCUUACUUGGGCACACACAUACACUAAAAUUGGAACAGCAUGGAAAAGAUAACUGUGGCCCCAGCACGUGGAUGACAUGCAAACUUGUUAAGGUUUCAUACUUUUA